rnacentral:rRNA from 1 species
ACACGUAGGGGGCGAGCGUUGUCCGGAUUUAUUGGGCGUAAAGAGCUCGUAGGCGGUUCGCUAAGUCGGGUGUGAAACCUCCAGGCUCAACCUGGAGACGCCACCUGAUACUGGUGUGACUAGAGUCCGGUAGGGGAGUGUGGAACUCCUGGUGUAGCGGUGAAAUGCGCAGAUAUCAGGAAGAACACCAGCGGCGAAGGCGGCACUCUGGGCCGGUACUGACGCUGAGGAGCGAAAGCGUGGGUAGC